AGUGAACGCUGGCGGUAGGCCUAACACAUGCAAGUCGAACGGCAGCACAGUAAGAUCUUGCUCUUACGGGUGGCGAGUGGCGGACGAGUGAGGAAUACAUCGGAAUCUACUUUUUCGUGGGGGAUAACGUAGGGAAACUUACGCUAAUACCGCAUACGACCUACGGGUGAAAGCAGGGGAUCUUCGGACCUUGCGCGAUUGAAUGAGCCGAUGUCGGAUUAGCUAGUUGGCGGGGUAAAGGCCCACCAAGGCGACGAUCCGUAGCUGGUCUGAGAGGAUGAUCAGCCACACUGGAACUGAGACACGGUCCAGACUCCUACGGGAGGCAGCAGUGGGGAAUAUUGGACAAUGGGCGCAAGCCUGAUCCAGCCAUACCGCGUGGGUGAAGAAGGCCUUCGGGUUGUAAAGCCCUUUUGUUGGGAAAGAAAAGCAGCAGGUUAAUACCCCGCUGUUCUGACGGUACCCAAAGAAUAAGCACCGGCUAACUUCGUG
rnacentral:rRNA from 1 species